UGAACGCUGGCGGCGUGCCUAAUACAUGCAAGUCGAGCGAGCAGAUGAGGAGCUUGCUCCUCUGACGUUAGCGGCGGACGGGUGAGUAACACGUGGAUAACCUACCUAUAAGACUGGGAUAACUUCGGGAAACCGGAGCUAAUACCGGAUAAUAUAUUGAACCGCAUGGUUCAAUAGUGAAAGACGGUUUUGCUGUCACUUAUAGAUGGAUCCGCGCCGCAUUAGCUAGUUGGUAAGGUAACGGCUUACCAAGGCAACGAUGCGUAGCCGACCUGAGAGGGUGAUCGGCCACACUGGAACUGAGACACGGUCCAGACUCCUACGGGAGGCAGCAGUAGGGAAUCUUCCGCAAUGGGCGAAAGCCUGACGGAGCAACGCCGCGUGAGUGAUGAAGGUCUUCGGAUCGUAAAACUCUGUUAUUAGGGAAGAACAAAUGUGUAAGUAACUAUGCACGUCUUGACGGUACCUAAUCAGAAAGCCACGGCUAACUACGUG
rnacentral:rRNA from 1 species